rnacentral:tRNA from 1 species
GCCGGUGUAGCUCAGCCCGGUUAGAGCGCCACGCUCAUAACGUGGUUGUCGGGGGUUCAAAUCCCCUCACCGGCA